CCUAUAGCUCAGCUGGUUAGAGCGCACGCCUGAUAAGCGUGAGGUCGAUGGUUCGAGUCCAUUUAGG
rnacentral:tRNA from 2 species